GAGUCACUUCGUAUAGAAAUUAUUUAAAAUCCUAACUCGAAUGUUGUCCGCUCGACGGAGAGUCGAUUGGAUAAAAAUGAUAAAAGAAUUAAGUCGGGAGGAAAAAGGCAAGAGGGAAAAAAAUAUAUCGAGCGACCAAUCGAGAUUCGAGAGUCUCGAUUCCUCGAGUCGAACUCGUUCGUGCGCGACCAAUCGUCGCCGUGCAUGCUGUUUCCUACUGAGUGAGGUUAUCUGUCAAGUCCGGUGCAAUGGGAAUGCAAUGGGAUACGAAAGGACGCGAAAGCGUCGUAAUUGUAGGUCCAGUGAAUAAAGAGAUUCCCAUGUGAUUUCUUGUGAACAAAAUAAUAUAAGCUCCGUAUUAUUGCGAUGCUUGGAAUAUCGUAUUUGCAGACAGGACGUACGAGAUUCGUAUGGCUAACGUUCCGUGCGUGUCUGUGAUGUAAUUAAUGGUAUUACGGAAAUCUUAAAAAGAUUCACGAGGAAACGUGGCUUCAGGAAAUGCACUUUGGUAAACAGAGACUGGCUGACGUGCAUAGGUUAUGGGUUUUAUAUGCUGCUCGAGAUACGUGGAUUAAUUCGACUGCAGUUGCUCUAUCUGUUAUCCCGUGCUGCACCUUCUUUCGCAAGAGGCUGUACAAUUACGAAAAUCAUUAGCGAUCUCUGGGCCGCUCCUGAGGAGGAAAAAAAUUACACGUGCCUAAUUGUAAUGCGAUAAUAAGCGAAUCUUACGAAUCGUGCGUUUCGUGAAUAGAAUUUAUUCGAGGACGUAAUCAUAAUAAUAAUGCAGUUCAUUGAACUCUUGGAACUUUAUAGAUCGUAUUUUUAUACUGUUGCGUAAUGUGCAUCUUUAAUUAAUACUUAUUGGCUUCUAUUUAUUUUCAAUGGUUCUUAGAAGCGUUUCCAAGAGCUGCAGCACAGUGUUGCAUGAAAAUAUUUUAAAUGUUUGUUUAGCUCGUGUGAUCUUGAGCGAUUAGUUGAUUUACCUUGUUUGGUAAAAAAACAAAAAAAAACGGAAGUGCAAGAGCAACGAAUCAAGGAAGCGGAAAGAUUAAAUGAAAUAUAUGGUGAUCAAUCUUCAGGGUUCAUGAAUCAACCAAUGCGGUGAUGCAGUUCGUGACUCGGGAGAGAAAUUGCAUCUUUAGCAAGUUUUAUACGAUACAUGGGCUUGUAACGCGCAUGAUACUGCCACUGAAAAAAAGUGUAAAAAAUGUACUGACAACCUAAUUAAACACGGCAGAAAAGUUGAACGAUCCCUCGUUCAAUUGAUUGAUACUGUGGAAUAUUGAUUAUCGAUCGAUUGAUAAAAUCGAUAUCUGUAUAUAAAAAGUGUGUAAUAAAUUAUUUCAAAGAUUAGGUAUAAUAGCUAUUUCGUUAAUGAAAAAUUUAUCUGGAUAAUUUCACGGGCUAUUCUUUUACUUUCUCGCGAUGCACCUGCUGCACUUUCCUCGUACAGUUUCUACGUUUCUAUAUAUGAUCUCUGGGCGCGAUGCACUUUUCUGUGUAUGCACUUUUUUUUUGGACGACGAAUCCUUUCUUUUUAUUAUCGUGCCCGUGACCGAGAUUACACAUAAUAAUGGGUCGUGUUCACGAUUUGUACAGUUACGUUGGUAUCUUGUCCGCGAGAGAGAGAGAUCUCAAUUUCACGAGAAAACAAUAAAAGAAAUUGAACGUGAAGAAAAAUUCUUGAACCCACCAAUCAUCGGAACGACUGAAGUAAUUGUCGCGAAGUAUCAAUUUUAGGGUAAAUUAGUUUUCGUAAACCGAUUAUAACACUUAGCGUAAUAGCAACCUGCGGCAUA